ensembl:lncRNA
AAACCAGGAAAACAAUUCCUCUUAUUUGUAAAUAUUAUGAAUUCUUUCAAAUUAAUUGAGAUGAUUCUUCUAUUUGGCAGAGAAAAAGUCUACUGGACAGAAUUUGUGUAAGUAAUCAAGUCCAGAGAAUAUUAGCUGAAGUAUAGAAAUGCCAGGAAUUAGUUUACUGAGUAGUGACAAGCAUAUUUCUUCCACUAACACACAGUACAUUUCAACUUAUCCAGUUCUUCUUGUGUGUAAAUAAAAUGCAAUUAGGAUUUUCUUUUUCCAUAUGGGUUGCAGGGGUCUAAGCCUUAGCCUUCAGUGCCUGGAGCUAAAUGCUUUGUCACUGUGCAAGGAAAUCCAAACCUGCUGCACAGAAUGAGGCUUAUUUUGACUUAACAAAGGCAUGAAUACCACAAACAUGAUCAACAGGUCCUUUUUAGUGCCUCCUGUUAGCUGAGGUGAAGCUUUGUAGCCCCCCCGUGCUCCAACAUGCGUCAGUGGUGCUCCUAUGCACAGCUUACAGACAGCUUUGCAGAACACCAUCUACAUGUUGUAGCUGUGUACCCUCACCAUGGGGUCAGUGUCACAAGGAACCAGUCUAUGGGCUACUCUCGCUGUGCUGUUGAUGGUCAUUCAUCCCGCCAUGUUAAAGAAAGAAGAUGUACAAACAAACAGCAGAAAUGAAACCAAGUGUGAAACGUGUCUACUGCAGCCACCAUCUGUGCUCCUGCUCUAUUUUCUGAUCUUUGAUGUUUUUCCAUGCUUCUUUCUCUUCUGGUAAAUGCUGCUGUGAUUUCCUCCCUUUUCUGGCUCACUUUUCAGCCAAUCAGCAUUUGGUCUACAUAUUUUCAUGUAUUUUUAUUUUUAUUGGAACUUAGAUUUUUUUUCCAGUUUAAAUAAAACUUUUUAGAUCAAAUAUCUCUUUUACAAGAGUCUCCAGGUGAAGAAAGACUGUCUUGAUCUGAGCGAGUGUCUGAUGUGUGGUAUGUUUUUCCACUUUCCAUGGUGUUCAGGUUCUGCCAAUGGGGGUGGAGUUUCAUGUCUUACCCGGUACCUCCACCUGUGAUUCAUCACCUGUAAUCAGCAGGCCGGCAUUUAAGACCAGCUCAGCCUUCGAUUUAUCGCCAUUUUGUCUGCUAUCUCCGUGGAGUAUUCAACUCACCUGCAUUAAAGAGACUCACCUCGUCUCGUCAAUGCUAGUCAACUGCCACCACGCUACUGCUCCUUCACCUGCCUGCCCUCUUGCUCGGUGCUCAGCUUAGAUCUCUGGAACAGAAGGUUGGACUCCCAAACUCACUUGCCUCGUGGUUCAGUUGGAUUCACGCUCAGUCCCCCUCCCUGAUGUCAACUUACACUCUGACCUGCAAGUAAACUUCCUCCACAAUCACAAAUUACCUUUGGAAGCCAUUUUCCAUCCAGCACUAACCUCCCCCUCUCUCUCUGUUUCAGUUAUUCAUGCCCUGAGUCUCCUGCUUCAGUUCUUCAUGUCCUUACACAUUCCUGAAUUAAAUAAAGUUG